UACGUAGGCAGCGAGCGUUGUUCGGAGUUACUGGGCGUAAAGGGUGUGUAGGCGGUUUUCUAAGUUUGGUGUGAAAUCUCCCGGCUUAACCGGGAGGGUGCGCCGAAAACUGGGAGACUAGAGUGCGGGAUGGGAGAGUAGAUUCCUGGUGUAGCGGUGAAAUGCGUAGAUAUCAGGAGGAAUACCGGUGGUGUAGACGGCUCUCUGGACCGCCACUGACGCUGAAACACGAAAGCGUGGGUAGCAAACAGG
rnacentral:rRNA from 1 species